GACAUAGGUGGCGAGCGUUAUUCGGAAUUACUAGGCGUAAAGCGCGUGUAGGCGGGCGCUUAAGUCCGUUGUGAAAUCUCCCGGCUUAACUGGGAGGGGUCAAUGGAUACUGGGUGUCUUGAGUGCGGUAGGGGGCAGUGGAAUUCCCGGUGUAGCGGUGAAAUGCGUAGAUAUCGGGUGGAACACCUAUGGCGAAAGCAGCUGCCUGGGCCGUUACUGACGCUAAGACUCGAAAGCUAGGGGAGUAAACAGG
rnacentral:rRNA from 1 species